CCAUUGGAAUACUCCGCGACAUCUGCUCCUACCUUCCUGAUCCCCUCGUCAUCUUCCGGCUGCAAGGUCCUCAAGGAAGAGGUGCAGGACUCCACCCUGAUCUUGUUGGAUGUAACUGUCACUAGCAAUGGAUGUAACAUUGAUUUGUUUCAUGGAGAUAUUGAGGUAGCUGGAGGAGGAAGAAAGCCGUGUAGUUGAGAGAGAAAAAAAUAUGUGGCAGUCACGUGAGGGGCACAACAGAGGAGAUACAUGCUUCGGUCGAGAGGAGAAAAAAGGGUCGAGAGGAGACCUAUGUCUUUGGUGUGAGCGCGGGACCAGAGAAGGAUACUGUUGGGACCGCUUUCUCUUGUGGGCUUCUUGCAUGCAAUCUGGUCGGGACACACUUUUUACUCUAAAAAGUGCGCGCGCACUGUGUAGACCGGCCCUUUUUUAUUCUUUUUACGUGUGCUGAUGACGUUUUUUGUUUGUA